rnacentral:tRNA from 1 species
GGGGAUAUAGCCCAGUGGCGUAAGGGCCUGCCUGGCAAGCAUAAGGUCCUGAGUUUGAUUGCCAGUAUCCCCA